rnacentral:rRNA from 1 species
UACGUAGGGGGCUAGCGUUGUCCGGAAUCAUUGGGCGUAAAGCGCGCGUAGGCGGCCCGGUAAGUCCGCUGUGAAAGUCAAAGGCUCAACCUUUGAAUGUCAGCGGAUACUGCCGGGCUAGAGUCCGGAAGAGGCGAGUGGAAUUCCUGGUGUAGCGGUGGAAUGCGCAGAUAUCAGGAGGAACACCAACGGCGAAGGCAGCUCGCUGGGACGGUACUGACGCUGAGGCGCAAAAGCGUGGGGAGCGAACAGG